GUUGGGUAGGGGAGCGUUCUGUAAGCCUGUGAAGGUGUACUGUGAGGUAUGCUGGAGGUAUCAGAAGUGCGAAUGCUGACAUAAGUAACGAUAAAGCGGGUGAAAAGCCCGCUCGCCGGAAGACCAAGGGUUCCUGUCCAACGUUAAUCGGGGCAGGGUGAGUCGACCCCUAAGGCGAGGCCGAAAGGCGUAGUCGAUGGGAAACAGGUUAAUAUUCCUGUACUUGGUGUUACUGCGAAGGGGGGACGGAGAAGGCUAUGUUGGCCGGGCGACGGUUGUCCCGGUUUAAGCGUGUAGGCUGGUUUUCCAGGCAAAUCCGGAAAAUCAAGGCUGAGGCGUGAUGACGAGGCACUACGGUGCUGAAGCAACAAAUGCCCUGCUUCCAGGAAAAGCCUCUAAGCAUCAGGUAACAUCAAAUCGUACCCCAAACCGACACAGGUGGUCAGGUAGAGAAUACCAAGGCGCUUGAGAGAACUCGGGUGAAGGAACUAGGCAAAAUGGUGCCGUAACUUCGGGAGAAGG
rnacentral:rRNA from 1 species